AGUGAACGCUGGCGGCGUGCCUAAUACAUGCAAGUCGAACGAAGUGGCGCACGGGCGAGUAAUAUAUAGCUAAUCUGCUCUCCACAGAGGAACAAUAGCUGGAAACGGCUGUAAAUACUUCAUAGUGUAGGAUGAGACGAUAUCGUAUCAGCUAGUUGGUAAGGUAAUGGCGUACCAAGGCUAUGACGCGUAACAGGUCUGCGGGGAUGAUCAGCAACCUUGUAACUGAGACACGGUCCAAGCUCCUACGGGAAGGAGCAGUAGGGAAAAGUGCCCAAUGGGGGUAUCCCUAAAGCGGCAUCGCGGCGUGAAGGAUGACACUCUUCGGGGCAGAAAGUCCAUUUAUCAGGAAAGCGGUACCUGCAGAAUAAGCACCGGCUAACUCCGUGCCAGCAGCCGCGGUAAUAC
rnacentral:rRNA from 1 species